GAUGAAGAACGCAGCGAAAUGCGAUAAGUAAUGUGAAUUGCAGAAUUCAGUGAAUCAUCGAAUCUUUGAACGCACAUUGCGCCCGCCAGUAUUCUGGCGGGCAUGCCUGUCCGAGCGUCAUUUCAACCAUCAAGCCCCGGGCUUGUGUUGGGGACCUGCGUCCGACGCAGGCCCCGAAAACCAGUGGCGGGCUCGCUGUCCACACCGAGCGUAGUAGCUAACCUCGCUCCGGAGUGGCGCGGGCGCCUGCCGUAAAACCCCCCAAUUCUACAAGGUUGACCCCGGAUCAGGUAGGAAUACCCGCUGAACUUAAGCAUAUCAAUAAGCGGAGGA
rnacentral:misc_RNA from 1 species